rnacentral:rRNA from 1 species
GACGAACCGUGCAAACGUUAUUCGGAAUCACUGGGCUUAAAGCGCGUGUAGGCGGGCCGGCACGUCGGUCGCUGAAAUCCCCCGGCUCAACCGGGGAAGCGGCGCCGAUACGACCGGCCUGGAGGGGCGUAGGGGGACCUGGAACUUCCGGUGGAGCGGUGAAAUGCGUUGAGAUCGGAAAGAACACCAACGGCGAAAGCACUCUGCUGGGCCGACACUGACACUGAGAGACGAAAGCUAGGGGAGCGAAUGGG